GUGACCAGAGCGCGUGCGCGAGGGUGUGGGGGGAUGGGAGGGGCAGCAGCCCUCUUCCGGGGGGGAGGGGCGGCGAGGCGAGGCCUGCGGAGCGGAGGAAGACAAACAUAAAGAUGAAGUGCUUAAUUCAAGGUCACACAAUGUCGGGGAUGGACCUCCAGAUUUCCUUACUGACCUGCAUUAUCUUGUGGAUACCUGAGUGAAUUCCACACCACCCAUUUUAUAGAUGAAACCACUGAGACAUGGAGCAAUUGACUGAGUAGUCACUGCCCCACCCCUGCCUGGAGCCUCACACAUGACUCGCCUCCUCUCAGUGACCACAGGUUGGUUGAGGGGUUUAACAAGGCUAAGAAGGUGAGACGUGGUCUUGUAACACAGUGGUUAAGAAUGUGACUUUGGAGCCAGCCUGCUAGGGGCUGAAUUCUGACUCAGCCAUUUACUAACUGUGUGACCUUAGUCUCACUGUUGCUCAGGCUGGAGUGCAAUGGCAUGAUCUCGGCUCAUCACAACCUCUGCUUCCUGGGUUCAAGCGAUUCUCCUGCCUCAGCCUCCCGAGUACCUGGGACUACAGGCACUCGCCACCAUGCCCGGCUGAUUUUUGUAUUUUUAAUAGAGAUGGUUUCACUAUGUUGGCCAGGCUGGUCUCGAACUCCUGACCUUGUGAUCUGCCCACCUCAGCCUCGAAAAGUGCUGGGAUUACAGGCGUGAGCCACUGCGCCCAGCCUUGUAUUUUUUUUCAGUUUGGGUAGCUGUCCCUAAUUCAUUUGUUAAAGGAGAAGCAAGAGCAAGAACCUUUAAUCUGUUCUCCUCUUCCCUAAUUUGAAAGUAGCUUGUUAUUUUGAAUAUCACUUUCUCUGAAAUAGCACAUCUCCAUCUCAGAGAAUGGAUUUAAUGUUUGGAUACAGCCAAAAGUCAUUUCAUUACCAAACCAUGGGGUGAAUAUACCAUGUAAAGCAGUUUGGGAUCAGAACUCACAGUCUGAAUUGUAAGUGAUGAGACUGCUGUCUCUCUGCUACAGCUUCUUGGCUGGCUCUGAAGGCUCUUUGAAGGCAGAUCCUAACAAGGGGACUGCUUUGAAGGGCCAUUGUUCAUUUGGAAUGAUAAAGUCUAUGUUGUUCAAAAAACAAAUGCUUGUAGCAGGUAUUUUUUCACUCCAGACUGAGAAUAUUGGUGGGAUAUUGAUAAGGGGUACUGAAUGGUAAUAAACAUGUGCUCUAGCUCUGUGCUAGUCAGCUUAUUUCAGAACUCUAGUUUGAUUCAGUUUCUUGCCUCUGACUCAAAAUGGAGGGAGAGUGAUUUUUACAUAAGAGAACACACCCACAUAUCCUUUUGGCAGCAGCUACCUGCCAGAGAUGUUGAAGAAGAGUAGCCAACCUUUACACAGCAGAUAUUGUGUGCCAGUCAUAGUCCUAAGUAUAAUACCUUACAUGUAUAAACUUCUUAUAAGGUUGGUGCUCUGUACCGAAUUGAAUAGUAUCCCCCAAAAUUCAUGUUGUCCCAGAACCUAUGAAAGUGAUCUUACUUGAGGGAGGGGGGAGGGGGGAGGGAUAGCAUUAGGAGAUAUACCUAAUGCUAAAUGACGAGUUAAUGGGUGUAGCACACCAGCAUGGCACAUGUAUACAUAUGUAACUAACCUGCACAUUGUGCACAUGUACCCUAAAACUUAAAGUAUAAUAAUAAUAAAAUAAAAAAAAAAAAGAAAGUGAUCUUACUUGGAAAUAAGGUCUUUGCACAUAUGAUCAAGUUGAGAUGAAGUUGUACUGGAAAGUCUGUCUAGUGACUGGUGUUGUCAUAAGAAGAGAGGGACACAGAGGGAAGAUGGCCACAUGAAGAUGGAGGCAGAGAUUGCAGUUAUGCUGCUGCAAACUAAGGAAUGGCUCUGGCCCUCCAAGGAUUGCUGAUAACCACCAGAAACUAGAAGAGACAAGGAAGGAUUCUUCCCUAGAGCCUUCAGAGGGAGCAUGGCCCUACUGACACCUGGAUUUCAAACUUGUAGCUUCCUAAACUGCAAGAGAAUAAAUUUCUGUUGUUUUAAGCCAUAUAGUUUGUGGUAAUUUGUUAUGGCAGUCCUAGGUAAU
rnacentral:lncRNA from 1 species